GUCAAAUCGUGCAGAGAAAAACUGGGGCAAAAGUCUUAUUUUGUAAUUUGUCAGAAUGGGUUCUGAAAAGCUGUGCUUGCUCCCAAGGGUUUCCUGCAGGCGAAAAGGAAACUUCCCUAAGACAGAAGAGGGAAUCCACCAUUUGGCCCCGGAUGGAUGGUCUCAGCCACAGGACAGGAACAAGGACAGGAAUCUGCUCACAGGUCCCCGCCCAGCUGCUCUCUGACCGGCCACAGUAUUCAGGCCAAGACACUCAGCUGUGACUGCGAAUGCUACUUGUCUGACCUAAGGAUCUAAGGACUGUAGCUGCCUUGUUUGCAUUUCUUACUCCAACGAUAACUCAAAGAAAAGAAAAUGAAUCACCGUGGAAAAUGAGGGGAGGGUGCAAAAGUAGUGCCGCAGAGCCUCAGAAUCCUCCCACCUGCCCUCCACCUGCAUCUCCACCAGCCCAUUCUCACCCUUCCCCACAUCGCAGGAGAGGAACCGCCCAGUUUCCGGGAAGACAGGGUCACUUGGUUUAGCUGGAGUGGUCCCACUCUUCCUAAGUACCUGGUCUUCACAGUAGCUGCUGUGGCAGGGAAGGACGCAAUCCCAGGACUAGACUCUUAUCUUCUCCUUUUGCCCAGGCCCCACCAGCUUCCACACUGAACAACACGGGGCCUGUGGAUCCAUCCUCAUCCCCUCCCUAAGCUACUGACCCACUCCCCUCCCCCUCCUGGCAUUGAUGGGCUGUCCUCAGGGAAGCCAGUGACCCUAGUCCAGGGCCUCAGACCAGGGUCAAGGGGCAGAAUGUCUACACCAGGCCAGGGAUCCCUGCAGACUGGUCUUCGGGAAGUGCACCCCCAGAUGCAAUCAGUUCACAGAGGAAAACCACAUUUUGUUUAGUCUUUUCCUAGUCUAGAAGGCCUAGUAUUUAAUAAACCCUGGAGCCAGCCCUGAGGGGGACUGGCUUUUAUGGGCUCCAGGCAGCUCUCUCAGCCUCUUCCCAGGUGGGGGGGCUUGGCCUGUUGGCAGCUGACUUGAGUUUUCUUCCCAGCCCCACCUCGCCCAAUGCCCCCACCUUUUCCAUGAGAUGAAGAGAAACUUGGCCUCCAAGGGUCACUCUUCUCCCCAGGAAUGUGUGGCCCAGCUUCUCCAGUUUAAAAGACUUUCCUCUGCUCCAGGGCUGACCCCAAACAGAUGGGAACCUCUAGAGCUUGGUUGGCCAAUGCCAUGUUCAGCCCAGUCACAGCUGAGAUCUUGUCACCUAGGUGAGUGCUUUACUGCUGGAGAAGUAGCAAUCAAGAGAACAGUUCUUUUUAACAUGGACAUGAGAGAUUUUAGGGACCAGUCCCCAGUGCUCAAAUCAUAGCAGGUCCCACCCAAGAACUUGGCUCAUCCACAAACCAAGCUCCUGCCAAGCCCUGGCUUAUGGAGAUGGACCAGACAUUCCUGGGGCAUCAUGGCAGGCGGCCACUGAUGCUGUCUCAAAUCCUGGGGUUCCAUAUUACGGAGAGAAUCAGCUGCAAAAGGCAACAAUUGUCUUUGAGUCACCCCUGCCCUUCCAAAAAUCAGGCUUUCAAGAGUUGAAGGCGUGAAGCGUAAUGCAGGGAAUUUCUGACAGUGCAGAGGGUAUCUGACAGGCUGGGAUGUUCCAGCGAUGACUGAACACGCAGAUUGAAUGGAACACUGAUUACAUUCUUGGUUAGCCGCCUAUAUAGCCCAUACUGGGUCCUCAUUACAUGUGCCCUAACAACAAACAUUAUGUUUCAUUAAAAUAUUACACACUUAGGAAAAUACUUCUAAAAAUGCAAAGAGGAGAAUAAAAACUACCGCAAGUGCUAUACUGAGACCCAGCGCUGUGGCAAGUUCCCCUGACCUGUCUGCAGGGAUCAUUACAAGCCGAUACUGGCUGCCCAGCGGGACCUGAUGAGACAUCAGAGAGCUCACGUGACCUCCAUUAUCACUGUCACCGCCGUGCGUGCUGUUCACACAAACAUCGGAGAUAGACAAAGAGACGUUUGAAGUUUAAUGUCAUUCUCUUGCUCAGCCUUCCUCAAUGAGGCCCCCAGAAGGGUGAGUGAGGGGCUCUCGGAAGGAGUGGGGCUACUGCAGGGCUGGCUCCAGCCGCAGUGUGGGAGUACCCAGGUCUUUGCUUGGAACAAACACCUAUUUGACAGACAGCAGUUGGGUCCUGGGUAGAACCAUUGAGACCAGCUACCAUUCCUGGUUCUGAAAUUUAAUAAUGAAAUAAAUGUAAUCACACAUAUUUAAUUAAGCCAUUUCUUAAUAAUCAUUAUCAUAGCAUGGCACACUCCCCACACGCCUGGCAUAGCAAGGCACUAUCAUACGCAUAGAAGCAUAGACCUUUGCUGAGAGCGUCACUCCGUACCAACCCCAGACUCAGUAGCGGUGAGAACUUGCCCAAGUCAAAAGCUUCCCUGCGGCUCAUUUCCUCCUCUGUAGAACGGGGGACUGAAAACAAGGAACAGGCAUCGGGACAGCGGAUCAUGAAACUGGUGCCCCAUGCAGUGGGUACUCUAAAAUACGAAGGAGCAGGUUUCGGGUGCAGCAGCAGCAAGGAUAGAGCUGAAACACAGAUGCCUAAGGGAAGG
rnacentral:lncRNA from 10 species